CCUACGGGAGGCAGCAGUGGGGGAUAUUGCACAAUGGGGGAAACCCUGAUGCAGCGACGCCGCGUGGGCGAAGAAGUAUUUCGGUAUGUAAAGCCCUAUCAGCAGGGAAGAAGAAAUGACGGUACCUGAGUAAGAAGCACCUGCUAAAUACGUGCCAGCAGCCGCGGUAAUACGUAUGGUGCAAGCGUUAUCCGGAUUUACUGGGUGUAAAGGGAGCGCAGGCGGCACGGCAAGCCUGAUGUGAAAUCCCGCGGCCCAACCGCGGGACUGCAUUGGGAACUACCGGGCUGGAGUGCCGGAGAGGUAGGCGGAAUUCCUAGUGUAGCGGUGAAAUGCGUAGAUAUUAGGAGGAACACCAGUGGCGAAGGCGGCAUACUGGACGGUGACUGACGCUGAGGCUCGAAAGCGUGGGGAGCAAACAGGAUUAGAUACCCUAGUAGUC
rnacentral:rRNA from 1 species